ensembl:lncRNA
AUCAGCAAGUUUCUGCUCCAUUUUCACUUUACAAUGUGUCCUGCAGUCAAGUCUGUACUGUUGAGCCCUUCUUCGUGUCUCUUCCCGGCCUUGGAGGAAAAACUAAAGGGAGGAAUGCUGCUGGGGGACGGGAGAAGGAGGAGGGGAGCAACUGAGACGAAGGGAGGGGUCCACUCUUCAGGAAUUCUGCUGGGUUGGAGUAUCUGCGCUAGCACGAUUCAGUGUCCACCACUGGUGUCAACAUAGCGAUAUAUAUCCACCAACCCCCCCCCCCUUUUCCCUGCAGAUCCAACUGGAACUAAAUCCCAAUGGAAAAAAUGUGGAGAGAAACUCAUAAAUGGAUAUUUUACGUUUUAAAAGAAUACAGAGAGAGUUUACGUAUAUUUUGCUAGGAGGCCUCACAAUGUCUGGGAGAAGGUGUAUAUUCUACGCUGCCAAACCCCAGUCUGGAGUAAACGCUCCACAACACUCCACAUUUUAGAACUUCUAACCCUCCAAAGUCAAAAGGAGGCGUCGAGUGCCACUUCUUCUUAUUCUUCUUCUUCACCUCUUCUUCUUCGUCAGUGCAGGAGAGGACCCGAACUCAAGUGACACAACAGCGCUGCCCCCCCCCCCAUCGCCUUUGUGUCCAGUGCCUUUCCAAAAAACUAAUCACCUGUCAACAUUUAGUGCCAACUUUUACUUGUUUCACCAAAAGAACCCAUCAGCAUGGCUAUCCACAAACCCAUGAGCUCCUUUUCUGGAUAGUCCUGUUAUGGGUGGAGGUUGGAACAAAGAUAUAACUACUGUAGGCUUUUUUGUUAAUGGAAUGGCAGUUUAACUUUAUUUUAUUUUUUUAAAAAAAUGUCUGCCUUUUUAAGGUGUUUUUGCGAUGUCUGCUGGUCUGGCAAAACUAAUACACCUUGAAACACACAGGUACUGGACCCCCCCCCCCCCCCCCCCCCUCUCGCCAUAAGAAACAGUACUUUUCUGCCAGACUAGCUAAUCAAUUAAAAUUGUUCUGUUUAUUUUUGUUUUGUUUUUUAACAACAACAAAAAUGUGAUGAUGUACUGUUGACAAAUCUAACCUGAUUGUAAGUUUAAUUUGAUAACAGCCGCUGAACGGCGAGCUGAGUGUUUUAAAAGGAAAAAAAAAGACUUUUAAUACAAACUGCAUUUUUAAAAAAAGAAACUAGACUGUGUUUUUCUUUUUCUUUCUUUGUCGACAUCUGUUCGAAUGCAAUACCGUAGUCGCUACUCAAGGUUUAGUUUGUUCGAACUGGGCAAGGUCACAGCAGGAAUUUCAAAUGUUUAUAGGGACUUUGUGUCCUCUUAAAAAAAAAAAAAAAAAAAAAAAAAAGCCUGAAUCAUCUUGACGUGCAGAUGGUUUGAGAUAAUCACGUAAGAAAAGAAAAAAAAGGGAAAACGGGCCUAGAUGGACUACAUCUGCAUAGCUGAGCUUGGUCACACACUUUUGUAUCAUUUUUUGGAACACCAAAUACAUUUUUGGAUUGAGAAUGUUAAAGCUGCUCGACACAAAACAUUUUUUAUCAAAAAAUCCAUAGUAUUUGAAUUAUAGAUUAAUAAAUUGAAGAUAAUUUGCUCGAAAAAAAGAUUU